AUUGUUCCACAAGCGACAUUGCAUGCUCGGCAUGAGUUGUGGUUUUUGCGUGCCGCGUGUUCAGCGUGUUGUUGUGUCACCCCUGAUGCUGCUGCCGCGUUACCAUGGCUGGGGUUGAUGUGAGGAAGUUAGUGGGCGGGACCGAACGGGACCAGUCAUGGCUGCGAGUUAGUCGAAAAAGCCCUUUGCCACUUUUUUGUGUUUCCUGCAGAGCAACAGCAGCAGCAGGAACAACAACAACACAAACAAAGUCACCAACUCGGUUACAUCUGCUGCACUGGAGCCUCAGACUACCGUAAUCCAUAAUCCGGUAGAUGGGAUCAAGGAAUCGUCAGACAGCAGUAACACAACAAUCGAAGAUGAAGAUGUGAAAGGUGAGAGAUGCUAUGCUAACCGCUACAUCAAAGACAUGACAUUUUUGUCUU